rnacentral:rRNA from 1 species
CCGCGGUAAUACGAAAGGGGCAAGCGUUGUUCGGAUUUACUGGGCGUAAAGGGCACGCAGGCGGUCUUGCCAGUCAGGGGUGAAAGCCCGGGGCUCAACCCCGGAACUGCCUCUGAUACUGCAGGACUAGAGACUAGGAGAGGGUGGUGGAAUUCCCAGUGUAGAGGUGAAAUUCGUAGAUAUUGGGAGGAACACCAGAGGCGAAGGCGGCCACCUGGACUAGAUCUGACGCUCAGGUGCGAAAGCGUGGGGAGCAAACAGGAUUAGAUACCCUGGUAGUCCACGCCGU